GUGGGAGCUGGCUUGCCAGCGAUGACGUUGGGUCAGCCAGCAUUUUCGGUGCUGUUCCACCGCAAUCGCUGGCAAGCCAGCUCCCAC
rnacentral:misc_RNA from 1 species